rnacentral:tRNA from 1 species
GCGCCCGUGGCGGAAUUGGCAGACGCGCUGGAUUUAGGUUCCAGUGCCCUAGGGCGUGAGGGUUCAAGUCCCUCCGGGCGCA